GGUUGAGCCUGUUUGGAGACCUUUGCCCCAAUUUGCUGCGUUUCUGCGCUUGAAUGGACAGUCUGUCUUCCCACUGGACUUCACCAAGCCGGUCUUUUAGGUGAGGUGAGGAAACGGGUCCAGAUGUGAGGAGGCUUUUCAGUGAGGGUUUGGAUGAAAAAGGAUCUCAAAUGAUCCUUUGAAAAAAAGCUGCAAACAAACAUGAAAGGUAUCAAGUCGACUUUCCGUAAAAAGAUCAUGAACUCUCUUUUCCAAUCCACCAUCCUGUCCUUUGAAACCCAACGUCUGUAAUGUGGAGAUGUGUGUCUUAGAUAAAUGUUUGGAGGUUUAAUGUGAGUGUUUUGAGUUUUUAUUGGCACUCUUUCCGACAAGAAGCCCCACAGACUGAUGGUGCGGACCGGUCGGGUCCACUGGGGGUCAACCUCCUCUGACUCUGAGCAGAGAGGAGCUGCUGACACAAGACGGCGUCACACCGAGUCAAAACAGCAGCACUGACC